AACCUAAAACUUUUGUUCACCAGCCGCUCAACGUUUCAGUCUGAGGCUGAGCUGGAACCUGCAGCAAGGCUUUGACGGUACCAAAUUACAUAUAGAUCUGUCAAAAUGAUGUAAGACCUGAAAUUGCUCUGUAAGUUGAUCCUCUUUGACCCCAUGAUUUGGAGCUUCACAGUAUGGCACCACACCUGGAAACCUGCCGUGCAAGAUCUCAAACAGGCACAGGAAAUUCCUGGAACAGCAAUGCAUCCUAGUUGAAGACAUCCAGUUAUCCCUCAGUGCAACAGAAGCAUCACUGUUAAUUAACUGUUGAUAUGCUUGAAAGAGUUUGUUUGGCAGUGAUCUCGUGGAGAAAGCCGAACCAGGUGUAUUUUUAGAAUGCUGUAGACAAUGCUGUCAUAGUCAGUUAACUUCUACAUCUCAUGGCCUUAACAAAUGCUUUCAUUUUUAUUCUUUCAAAUCUUGUGCAAGACGGUAGAUAGCUAUUGAUCUUGUGGAUUGUGGGUUAGUCAUCUCAGCAAGACUCUCUAAGAUGCUGCAGGAAGGAGGGAAAUGGAUAGGUGAAGGCUCACAUACCUGGACUUAGACAUUUUAAUCUAAAGGGGAUAAGUAUCAUUUCUGUUUACCAGAGCACUACCAAAAAUGUGUGCACACCUACGAAUAGCCUGGAAAAUAUUCGGGA
ensembl:lincRNA predicted gene 29007